CGUCAAAUCAUCAUGCCCCUUAUGCCCUGGGCUACACACGUACUACAAUGGCCGUUAACAAUGGGCUGCAAUGCCGCAAGGUGGAGCCAAUCCCCAAAAACGGUCUCAGUUCGGAUUGUGGGCUGCAACUCGCCCACAUGAAGUUGGAAUUGCUAGUAAUCGCGAAUCAGCAUGUCGCGGUGAAUACGUUCCCGGGCCUU
rnacentral:rRNA from 1 species